rnacentral:sRNA from 12 species
AAUAAACCACCAUAAUCGUUCGACUCUCCGCCCUCGCCGCCCUCGUCGCCGCCGCAUC